AAGGUCCCACUGAUCGCAAACUGAUGUAAACAAUUUUCGUGUUAACUGGGAAUGAACAGAGAAUAUAUUUGCAAAUAUAAAUUAAAAGAGAAUGUCUGACGUUGCCAUUAAACUAGCCAAGUCAGCCAAGCGACUGAAGGACAUCGCAAUCAUUGUGCCCGGCGCUUUCCUGACCUUUGCGGGGUAUUCAAUUUAUGAAGGCAAUGAGAAGUUCUACAGGGAAUAUGUCAUGCCAUUCACCCAUAAGUUCUUUGAUGCAGAGACGGCACACAGACUGGGGGUACUAGCGGCCAAGUACAACAUUGUCCCCAGGAAACAAAAAACCCCAGACUCUCCUAUCUUGUCAUCCGUGGUAUUCGGCAGGGAGUUCAGUAAUCCUGUGGGUCUGGCCGCAGGAUUUGACAAGGACGGUGAAGGGGUCCGAGGACUAACAAAGAUAGGCUUUGGUUUUAUAGAGAUAGGGAGUGUGACCCCAGAACCUCAGCCUGGAAAUCCUAAACCAAGGGUGUUUAGACUCAAAGAGGAUAAAGCUGUCAUAAACAGAUAUGGCUUUAACAGUGAAGGACAUGAAGCAGUAUACAAUAGGCUCAAAGACAGAAGUCACGGAGCAAGAUAACUGUUUACUAGGCAUCAAUCUUGGUAAAAACAAGAGUUCCACUGAUCCAAUCAGUGACUACACUCAGGGAGUUGAGAAGUUCAGCCGCUUAGCGGAUUAUCUCGUGGUCAAUAUCUCCAGCCCUAACACACCUGGCCUCAGGGACCUACAGGGAAAACAGAAGCUACAGAAUCUCCUAGACAAGGUGAUAGAGAGAAGGGAUGAGAUGGAAGUCAGGAAACCUCUGCUGGUCAAGAUCGCCCCUGACCUGACAGAUAGAGACAAGGAAGACAUCGCUGCCGUUGUCACCUCCAGAAAGGGCUAUGUGAAUGGUUUAAUCAUCAGUAAUACCACUGUUAGGAGACCCCCCAGUCUUAGGAAUCCCAGUAAAACAGAGGAGGGGGGACUUAGUGGACCCCCAGUGAGGGACAUGUCCACGAAAACCAUAGCAGACAUGUACCGACUUACAAACGGUUCUAUUCCUAUCAUUGGGGUGGGGGGAGUGAGUUCUGGUCAGGAGGCGUAUAAGAAAAUCCGGUCUGGUGCUAGUCUUGUUCAACUCUACACAGCCCUAGUCUACGAAGGACCACCUGUAGUCAAAAAAAUUAAACGAGAACUUGAGGAACUACUCAGGCGGGACGGCUUUAAGAGUAUAUCAGAAGCAGUUGGAGCGGACGUGAAAUUAUGAUGACCUAUGAACUAUCGACUAUUUUCUCUUUUGUAUUAUUUUUUCCGUAGAUCUAGUAUAUGUCCCAAAGGGACAAAAAUAAAUGUAUGAAGGUAAAAUGGAUUUUUUUUCUGUACAAAUUCUGCAAUUCUACAAAUAAAUUGGAAGAAGAGUUUAAAGGUUUAAAAAAAAAAUAAUGCUAUGUGAUUUAAAAAGGUUAGAAUUCAACUUCUUCAUUAAAGUUGGUAAUAGCUUUUUUAUCAAAAUACAUGUAUAUAUAUUAUACAAUUGUAUUUCGUAGGAAGUCACAAAUAUAGAAAUGUUAUGAAAAAUGCUAUUUGGCAUGAAAUUUUUUAGUCAUGUUUAAUGAAGAUAGGCCUAAUGGAUUUUUAUAUUUAUUUGAUAGACCUGUCAUGUAAAUUUAGUUGUCAAACUAAAUAGUUACGCUCAUGCGUUAAAUUGCAAUUUUUUUCACACUUUGCAAUUGAGGUGUUUAUCCAACCUUUCUGUAAAAGAAUGUCGACAAACGCCCUUUUCAUAUAUCAGGGAAUUAUAAAUUAGUAUAUAUGUCCU
rnacentral:misc_RNA from 1 species